ensembl:lncRNA
AUGCUCCAUCCAUUCCACCCUGUUAUACUCCAUUCCAUCCUGUUAUGCUCCAUCCAUACCACCCUGCAAUGCUCCAUCCAUUCGACCCUGUUAUACUCCAUUCCAUCCUGUUAUACUUCACCCAUUCCACCCUGUUAUACUCCAUUCCAUCCUGUUAUGCUCCAUCCAUUCUAUCCUGUUAUGCUCGCUCCAUUCCACCCUGUUAUGCUCCAUUCCAUCCUGUUAUACUCUAUCCAUUCCACUCUGUUAUACUCCAUUCCAUCCUCUUAUACUCCAUCCAUUUCACCCUGUUAUGCUCCAUCCAUUCCACCCUGUUAUGCUCCAUUCCUUCCUGUUAUGCUCCAUCCAUUCCAUCCUGUUAUACUCCAUCCAUUCCACCCUGUUAUGCUCCAUUCAUUCCAUCCUGUUAUACUCUAUUCCACCCUGGUAUACUCCAUUCCAUCCUGUUUUGCCCCAUCCAUUCCACCCUGUUAUGCUCCAUUCCCUCCUGUUAUGCUCCAUCCAUUCCACCCUGUUAUCCUCCAUUCCAUCCUGUUCUGCUCCAUCCAUUCUAUCCUGUUAUGCUCGCCCCAUUCCACCCUGUUAUGCUCCAUUCCAUCCUGUUAUACUCUAUCCAUUCCACUCUGUUAUCCUCCAUUCCAUCCUCUUAUACUCCUUCCAUUUCACCCUGUUAUACUCCAUCCAUUCCACCCUGUUAUCCUCCAUCCAUUCCAUCCUGUUAUACUCCAUCCAUUCCACCGUUAUGCUCCAUAUAUUCCACCCUGUUAUAUUCCAUUCCAUCCUGUUAUGCUCCAUCCAUUCCACCCUGGUAUCCUCCAUUCCAUCCUGUUUUGCUCCAUCCCUUCCACCCUGUUAUGCUCCAUUCCAUCCUGUUAUGCUCCCUCCCUUCCCCUCUUUUAUGCUCCAUCCCUUCCCGUCAUCUACCCUCCAUUCCUCCCUGUUAUGCUCCAUUCCAUCCUGUUCUGCUCCAUCCAUUCCAUCCUGUUAUGCUCCAUCCCUUCCACCCUGUUAUGCUCCAUUCCAUCCUGUUAUACUCUAUCCAUUCCACUCUGUUAUCCUCCAUUCCAUCCUCUUAUACUCCUUCCAUUUCACCCUGUUAUACUCCAUCCAUUCCACCCUGUUAUGCUCCAUCCAUUCCACCCUGUUAUUCUCCAUUCCAUCCUGUUAUGCUCCAUCCAUUCUAUCCUGUUAUGCUCGCUCCAUUCCCCCCUGUUAUGCUCCAUUCCAUCCUGUUAUGCUCCCUCCCUUCCCCUCUUUUAUGCUCCAUCCCUUCCCGUCAUCUACCCUCCAUUCCUCCCUGUUAUGCUCCAUUCCAUCCUGUUAUGCUCCCUCCCUUCCCCUCUUUUAUGCUCCAUCCCUUCCCGUCAUCUACCCUCCAUUCCUCCCUGUUAUGCUCCAUUCCAUCCUGUUCUGCUCCAUCCAUUCUAUCCUGUUAUGCUCGCUCCAUUCCCCCCUGUUAUGCUCCAUUCCAUCCUGUUAUGCUCUAUCCAUUCCACUCUGUUAUACUCCAUUCCAUCCUCUUAUGCUCCAUCCAUUUCACCCUGUUAUGCUUCAUCCCUUCCACCCUGUUAUGCUCCAUUCCAUCCUGUUAUACUCCAUCCAUUCCACCCUGUUAUGCUCCAUUCAUUCCAUCCUGUUAUACUCUAUUCCACCCUGGUAUACUCCAUUCCAUCCUGUUUUGCUCCAUCCAUUCCACCCUGUUAUGCUCCAUCCAUUCCAUCCUGUUAUGCUCCAUCCACUUCACCCUGUUAUACUCCAUUCCAUCCUGUUAUACUCCAUCCCUUCCACCCUGUUACGCUCCAUUCAUUCCAUCCUGUUAUACUCUAUUCCCCCCCGGUAUUCUCCAUUCCACCCUCUCUUGCACCAUCCCUUUCUCCCUGUUCUGCUCCAUUCCAUCCUGUUAUGCUCCAUCCAUUCCAUCCUGUUAUGCUCCAUUCCACCCUGGUAUACUCCAUUCCACCCUGUUAUGGUCCAUCCAUUCCACCCUGUUAUACUCCAUUCCAUCCUGUUAUGCUCCAUCCAUUCCAGCCUGUUAUGCUCCAUCCAUUCCAUCCUGUUAUGCUCCAUCCAUUCUACCCUGUUAUACUCCAUUCCACCCUUUUAUGCUCCAUCCAUUCCACCCUGUUAUGCUCCAUCCAUUCCACCGUUAUACUCCAUUCCAUCCUGUUAUACUCCAUCCAUUCCACCCUGUUAUGCUCCAUCCAUUCCACCGUUAUGCUCCAUAUAUUCCACCCUGUUAUACUCCAUUCAAUCCUGUUAUGCUCCAUCCAUUCCACCCUGUUAUGCUCCAUCUAUUCCACCCUGUUAUACUCCAUUCCAUCCUGUUAUGCGCCAUCCAUUCCACCCUGUUACACUCCAUUCCAUCCUGUUAUGCUCGCUCCGUUCCACCCUGUUAUGCUAGCUCCACACAAAUUUUUUUACUAUUAG